rnacentral:rRNA from 1 species
GUUUGUUUUUUUGAGCGUUCGGUGGAUGCCUUGGCAUCAGGGGCCGAUGAAGGACGUGGUGGCCUGCGAUAAGCCUCGGGGAGCCGGCUGACGGGCUGUGAUCCGAGGGUGUCCGAAUGGGGGGACCCGGCACGAGUUAUGUCGUGUCACUCGUACCUGAAUUCAUAGGGUGCGGGGGGUGACGCGGGGAAGUGAAACAUCUCAGUACCUGCAGGAAAGGAUAUUCCGUGAGUAGUGGCGAGCGAAAGCGGAUGAUGGCCAAACCUUGCGCGUGUGAUACCCGUCGGGGGUUGCGCGCGGGGUGUUGCGGGAUCGCGUGCGCCGGCUCCGACGGGCCGGCCGGCAGUUGCAGAAAACCAUGUGUCAGGGGAACCGGGUUGAAUACCGGGCCGCAGAGGGUGAGGGCCCCGUACCUGAACGCGCAUGGUCUGCCGAUCGCGUCUCCCAAGUAGCACGGGUCCCGUGGAACCCCGUGCGAAUCCGCCCAGACCGUUGGGUAAGCCUGAAUAUUCCUGUCUGACCGAUAGCGAACGAGUACCGUGAGGGAAAGGUGAAAAGCACCCCGGGAGGGGAGUGAAACAGUCUCUGAAACCGUGCGCCUACAAUCCGUCGGAGCCCUUUUGUGGGGUGACGGCGUGCCUAUCGAAAAAUGAGUCUGCGAGUCAGUGGCAUGUGGCGAGCAUAACCCGUGUGGGGUAUGCGUAGCGAAGGCGAGUCUUAAAAGGCGUUUAAAGUCGCGUGUCCUGGACCCGAAGCGGGAUGAUCUAGCCCUGAGCAGGUUGAAGCGCGGGUAAGACCGUGUGGAGGACCGAACCCACCUGGGUUGAAAACCGGGGGGAUGACUUGGGGCUAGGGGUGAAAGGCCAAUCAAAUUCCGUGAUAGCUGGUUCUCUCCGAAAUGCAUUUGGGUGCAGCGUCGGGUCAUUACGUCCCGGGGGUAGAGCUACUGGAUGCUUGCGGGCCCGUGUCGGGUACCAACAGCAACCAAACUCCGAAUACCGGUGACGCGUAUCCCGGCAGUGAGUCGGCGGGGGAUAAGCUUCGUCGUCGAAAGGGAAACAGCCCAGACCGUCGUCUAAGGUCCCGAAGCGUGUGCUAAGUGGGAAAGGAUGUGGAGUCGCAUAGACAGCCAGGAGGUUGGCUCAGAAGCAGCCACCCUUGAAAGAGUGCGUAACAGCUCACUGGUCUAGUGGUUCCGCGCCGACAAUGUAGCGGGGCUCAAGCACACCACCGAAGACGCGGCAGUAUUUUUGUACUGGGUAGGAGAGCGUCCCAUGAGGGGCGAAGCGGCCGUGUGAACGCGCCGUGGACUUCAUGGGAGUGAGAAUGCAGACAUGAGUAGCGAGAGACGGGUGAAGAUCCCGUCCGCUGGAUGACCAAGGGUUCCAGGGCCACGUUCAUCGUCCCUGGGUGAGUCGGGUCCUAAGGCGAGGCCGACAGGCGUAGUCGAAUGGAUGAACGGGUCGAUAUUCCCGUACCGGCUUUCAGCCGCCAAAACCGAGGCAGUGAGUACUAACCUCCGGCCGCGGGCUUACCUCCACUUCGGUGGUGGGAUGCCUUCGGUCGUUGGGACCGUAGCUGCAGUAGGUCAGCGCAGGAGUGACGCAGAAGGGUAGCCGGCCGCGGAGGUGGUCUUCCGUGGUCAAGCACGCAGGGCGUGGGACAGGCAAAUCCGUCCCGCAUGUGCCCGAGGUGCGAUGAUGGGGGCCGUUCGGCCCGAUAUCCGGUGAUCCCGGCUGCCGAGAAAAGCUUCGGCGUCAGGCUCAAAGCCGCCCGUACCCCAAACCGACACUGGUGGUCAGGUAGAGAAUACCAAAGCGAUCGAGCGAAUCCUGGUCAAGGAACUCGGCAAAUCACUCCCGUUCCUUCGGUUUAAGGGAGACCCCCGAUGGUGAACCGCCUCGCGCGGGGAGCUUUUGGGGGUGGCACAGACCAGGGGGUAGCGACUGUUUACCAAAAACACAGGUGCAUGCGAAGGCGCAAGCCGCUGUAUAUGCACUGACGCCUGCCCGGUGCCGGAAGGUUAAGAGGAUCCGUCAGCCCUGUGGCGAAGCGGUGAAUUCAAGCCCCGGUAAACGGCGGUGGUAACUAUAACCAUCCUAAGGUAGCGAAAUUCCUUGUCGGGUAAGUUCCGACCUGCACGAAUGGCGUAA